rnacentral:rRNA from 1 species
UACGUAGGGGGCGAGCGUUGUCCGGAUUUAUUGGGCGUAAAGAGCUCGUAGGCGGCUUGUUGCGUCGACCGUGAAAACCCGCGGCUCAACUGCGGGCUUGCGGUCGAUACGGGCGAGCUGGAGUUCGGUAGGGGAGACUGGAAUUCCUGGUGUAGCGGUGAAAUGCGCAGAUAUCAGGAGGAACACCGGUGGCGAAGGCGGGUCUCUGGGCCGAUAUUGACGCUGAGGAGCGAAAGCGUGGGGAGCGAACAGG